rnacentral:lncRNA from 1 species
AUGAACCCUAGCCUCCUCUGCUAGGGUUCUCACAUUCAACCCCCACGCCGCCGUUCACUUGUUUUUCCCACCGUGCGACGUUGCCGAUUGAAAGGUAAACAAAACUCCUCACUCUUCACUUAUUUUUUGUCUAAAAAACACAUGAAAUGAUGACUAAAAACAGAAAGGACAUUCGAAGGAAAAAAAAAGAAAUAAAAACCUUCAAAAUCGUGUUCCGAUCUUUCGUGUUUUAUAAUGUUUUUCAAUACAACGUUUGCCUUCCUUUUCCUUUAAUCCUUGAUUCCCUCCCUUGUUUACAAAAUAGAUACCCUUUAUAUAGCCUAAAAAUAUAAGCCAUUUACAGUAUUUUCUCCUUUUUUAGACUAUUUCUAGUCCACUUUUGCAGGAAAUCGUGAAGAGCACGACGCGGGGGAGGCAGUUGGCCCCGAGACGUGCGGCGCCUGGGGAGUCUGAUGGAGGCGGGGCUUGCUGCGGCUAGGGUUUGGGUUGAAUUGUUUAGGGUUUCUGCUGAAAAUGUUGUGGGCUGUUUGUUGGGCUUGUAAAAAACUGAGUUGUGCCCCAUUGUUUAUUUCACACGGGCCCG